rnacentral:rRNA from 1 species
AACGAACGCUGGCGGCAUGCCUAACACAUGCAAGUCGAACGAGACCUUCGGGUCUAGUGUCGCACGGGUGCGUAACGCGUGGGAACCUGCCCUUAGGUUCGGACUAACUCCCCGAAAGGGGUGCUAAUACCGGAUAAUGUCUUCGGACCAAAGAUUUAUCGCCUUUGGAUGGGCCCGCGUUGGAUUAGCUAGUUGGUAGGGUAAAAGCCUACCAAGGCGACGAUCCAUAGCUGGUCUGAGAGGAUGAUCAGCCACACUGGGACUGAGACACGGCCCAGACUCCUACGGGAGGCAGCAGUGGGGAAUAUUGGACAAUGGGCGAAAGCCUGAUCCAGCAAUGCCGCGUGAGUGAUGAAGGCCUUAGGGUUGUAAAGCGCUUGUACCCGGGAUGAUAAUGACAGUACCGGGAGAAUAAGCUCCGGCUAACUCCGUG